GACGUAGGGCGCGAGCGUUGUCCGGAUUUAUUGGGCGUAAAGCGCGUGUAGGCGGCCAGGUAGGUCCGCUGUGAAAACUCGAGGCUCAACCUCGAGACGUCGGCGGAAACCAUCUGGCUAGAGUCCGGAAGAGGAGAGUGGAAUUCCUGGUGUAGCGGUGAAAUGCGCAGAUAUCAGGAAGAACACCUAUGGCGAAGGCAGCUCUCUGGGACGGUACUGACGCUGAGACGCGAAAGCGUGGGGAGCGAACAGG
rnacentral:rRNA from 1 species